GAUGCCUAAGCUGAAUGCAGAAAAAUGGCUGUGUAUUAGUUCAGUGAAAUGGAGGGGAAGGGUUUUCCAGCCAGACAAAAGGAGAGGCAGGAGGCCCAGAAAUGGCUGGAGAACCACAGCAAGUUAUGAAAGUAGUUGGUCAUGAAAGAUGACUCGAGCUGUGGGACUGGUGGAUGGAGGGUCUGUGUGGACAAGUUUCAGGUGUACAAUAGAGUGAUUCAACAAAUCUGUAUAUUACUCAGUCCUCAUCAUGACUACCGUCUUUCCUACCAUUUAAAAGUAACUGACACUGAUGUUCUUAUAAGAAGCUACAGAGACACGCCAGGAGAAGGCCAGGUGAUAAAAAGGCAGAAAUUAGUGUGACCCAGCUAUGAGCCAAGGAAUGCCAACAAUCAACAGCCACCACGAGAAACUAAGAAGAGAAAAGACAGGAUUUUACCUGGAGUCUCAGUGGAAGCAUGGCUCUCCUUGAUUUGAUUGGGGAUAAUCACCUUGACUGGGGACUUAUCAGAACUACAGGACAAUAAAUUUCUGUUGUUUGAAGCCACCCAGUUUGUGGUACCUCGUUAUAGCAGCCCAAAGAAACCAACACAGAGCCAUCUGUCUUGUAGCACUGAAUGUCAACCUGGCCUGCUGGGAAAGCAGCCAAUCCAAAUCAUGGGGAAACCUCAUGGGCCAUGAAGGCACACAGCCUGAGCGUGAGCUCAAGCCCCAGGAACUCAGAAAAGUGAACAGCGUGUCCUGCUCUGAGCUUUCACCUUUCCCAGUGCAGCCACACCUUGUAGAUGCCCUUUGACCAUGCUCGUAAACUAUUUGGUUUUCCUCAGCUCCCUGAAAAGCAGAUAAGCCAACAAGAGGUACCCCAGUUACCCCUACCACAGGCUGGUGCCUGCUUCCAGAUCCCAGCAUGCUGGAAAGGCUACUCCAGCAAGAAUGCUCGCAAAACACAUCAUCUAGUGGAAAUUUUAGGCAUUUACUACAAAUUGCAGUAUGAUCCUUUGUAUGGAUUGCAUUUUGCAAAGGUACCAGAGCUGGUAAAGGACAUGUGUGUACCAGAGCAAGAGGAGCACCGUGAAAUAAGGAAAUGAAGAGCUCCCAAGUUCUGACCUUGCACAGGACCCAGGAGCCUCUGGGACGGUCAUUUCUUUUGGGAAUCCUGCCGAGGGUCAGAUCAAGCAUGAUAAGCCUUCCCUGAGAGUGGGGUAAAGGUAGCUUGGAAAUGAAUAUGACCUAGCUUCUCAGUAGAUGGAAAAGAGAAAGCUAUGUCAACAUUUUUAGAGUUAAAAAGGACGGAAGGGGCGGGAGGGAGUCAAGGAAACAAGACAUCUUGAGAAAGUGUAAUUGAAAACAAAUCCCCAAAGUUUUGAGAUAUGCUCUGAAAGCAAGGCCUUGAACAGCUCGUUUCUGAGACCAGAGCAGGUAUAUGCAAGCAUGUGAACACUUGUCCCCAAGGGUGGACCUUCAGUUUCACCGAAUAUAAGAUGUGAGCAUUGAAAGUCACCCAAAAAUGCAAGUAGGGGCCAUAGUAGCAACUACCAGUGGUCUGCUGGGGAAAAGGAAUCACAAUUACUAACUUUACACACAAUUCAUCAUAAUGUCCUGGUCAAUAGCCAGAUACUCCAAUUCAGGGAUAAAUGAUUAGAUUCAAAGCACUCAAGUUACAUAGAGCUUUGCGGGAGGCAAAGAAAACCUCUAAAAUCUGCUAUAGCCACUACAAAUUUGGGGAUGAAUUCAUGUUUCCAAUUUCAGUUCAAGUCCCCAGGCUACAGUGUUUACUGGUAAGAGUAUCUAAAUAUGGUACUGGGGUAACAGAUGGCACAUAGUACCCCCAAAAAGUUCUAAGUUGACAGAGUUAUGUGAUUGCUGUAUAUCCCGAGAGC